rnacentral:lncRNA from 1 species
CCUUCAUUCGUGAUUUUUUCACAUCCUGAAGUGUGGAUUAUUUUCUAUUAACCCUCUCUUUCAGAUGAAGAUGUCUACUCAGUGAGUCUCAGGGAUUUGCCCACGAAGAAACAGGGAGACAGCAAUUGCAUGAGGUCCUGCACAGGGCAUCCUGACCACAAUACUCUGCCUUUCCACAAUACUCGCCCUCCAUGCCCCAAGAAAGCAGCCAGAGAGAACUAGUGCUGGUUUAAGAUAUAAGUUGCAAAGAUUGGAGCAUCUCAAGAUAACGUGUUUUGAGGAUGGUGAGCUGCCCAGGUCACCUGGUUCUGGAUUUGAUACCUUCUGGAUGGACCUACCUAUCCACCCUGGACUGCCAUUGGUCAGAAAAGGAAACUUCUAUGUGGGUGAAUGCUUCCUGCCCGUUGGGUUUGCCACUGGCUGGUAUGUGAGUGACACUGGCUGCUGUAACAAACGUACACCAACGUUCCAGUGGCUUCCUACAACAAGAGAUUUAUUCUUCCUCCUGAAAAAUUUCAGGCUGCAUUCCUGGUUGGCAGGAAGCUCCCCUCCACAUGAUGACUCAGGGACCUCAUUUUGUUCAUCACGGCUCUGCCCUGUCUUGUACAUGUUGUUGGUGAAGUUGAUAAAGGAACAUAGAAAGCCAUUUUCUGUAGAGGAGUAACCCAAGUGAUGCCUGUCUUAUCAGCUCCUAUUCCUUUGGUAGGAAUUUACUCACACGACCGCCUCUAUUUUAGAGGGAAGCAAGGAGACUUGGUGUAACUGUAUGCUCAGAAAAGAGGGGUCAACUGAGGAUUUUAAGUAUCUAUCAAUCUCUACUUAAGUGAAUAUGGAGCAUUCUAAGUGUAGAAAACUAAAGAAAACAGAGACAGAGGAACAAAGUAGGUGAAGGUGGCAGAGCACAGAAUGAAGGAGCUGGGAAUGGCAAAGACAUUCUAUACUAGAGGAGAGGAUGGGGUAGUUUCACAAUGCAUGGAAAAUCUAUUCUCUCUGAAAACCUGGGGUUGACAUGCUACAAGUUUCUCCGUUGACCUGGGUGGCGGUUAUGCAGGGCUGUUCCCUUUGUG